AUUGAACGCUGGCGGCAUGCCUUACACAUGCAAGUCGAACGGUAACGCGGGGCAACCUGGCGACGAGUGGCGAACGGGUGAGUAAUGCAUCGGAACGUGCCCAGUAGUGGGGGAUAGCCCGGCGAAAGCCGGAUUAAUACCGCAUACGACCUACGGGCGAAAGGGGGGGAUCGCAAGACCUCCCGCUAUUGGAGCGGCCGAUGUCAGAUUAGGUAGUUGGUGGGGUAAAGGCCUAACAAGCCGACGAUCUGUAGCUGGUCUGAGAGGACGACCAGCCACACUGGGACUGAGACACGGCCCAGACUCCUACGGGAGGCAGCAGUGGGGAAUUUUGGACAAUGGGCGCAAGCCUGAUCCAGCCAUGCCGCGUGCGGGAAGAAGGCCUUCGGGUUGUAAACCGCUUUUGUCAGGGAAGAAACGCGCUGAGUUAAUACCUCGGUGUAAUGACGGUACCUGAAGAAUAAGCACCGGCUAACUACGUGCCAGCAGCCGCAGUAA
rnacentral:rRNA from 1 species